GGCCUGGUAGCACAAUGAUUAGUGCGUCUGACUGUGUUUGUCUGCUGGCUACCAUACAUGUAUGCAGAUGAUCCUGGUUCGAUUCCGGGUCAGGCCU